GACGAACGCUGGCGGCGUGCUUAACACAUGCAAGUCGAACGGAAAGGCCCUGCUCUUGUGGGGUGCUCAAGUGGCGAACACGUGAGUAUCACGUGAGUGACAUGCGCUUGAGUUUGGGAUAACAUCAGGGAACAGGGGCUCAUAUCCGGCAUGAGCUCCUGAUACAUAGUGGGGGAGGGUAAGAGUCGGCGGUUCGGGAUGGAGUCGCGGUCUAUCAGCUUGUUGGCGAGGUAGUGGCGUAACAGGGCUUUGACGGGUAGCCGGACUGAGAGUGUGACCGGCCACAUUGGGCCUGAGAUGCGGCCCGUACUCCUACGGGAGGCAGCAGUGGAGGUUUUUGCAAACUGGGCGGAAUCCGGAUGCAGCAUCGCCGCGUGCUGGAUCACGGCCUGUGGGUUGUAACCCUGGUUCGCCUGUGACGAAGCGUGAGUGACGGUAACUGGUAAGGAAGCACCGGCUAACUACGUG
rnacentral:rRNA from 1 species